rnacentral:lncRNA from 1 species
UUUAAAAGAAACACCCAGAAAGAGGUGGCGAACCUGGUUUUGUUCGUUCCAACACAUAUCCAAUAACAAAAAAGUAUAAAUUGGCAUUCAAAGGUAAACGGUAUGUACUUGGUAUUGGAUCAGAGACUAGAAACUCUAUUUUUCACUUACAUAACGGAAAGGAUACAAUUGUAGUAACGACAUGUAAACAUGGUAAAAACUGGAAAGAUGCUCAGGAUGAGAGAUGUGAUGUUGAUAAUUCUUUAUACGAAAAGUAAAUACAGUAUUUAUUAACUAUGUGAAGUUAUACUUUUAUAUUAAUCUUUUCAUUCUCUAGGUAUGAUUAUGGAAAUCUUCUAAAAAAUUCAACAUUUUGUUUAGUUCCUAGAGGCCGUCGUUUAGGAUCAUAUAGAUUCUUAGAAGCUCUACAAGCCGGUUGUAUACCUGUAUUGUUAUCUAAUAAUUGGGCUCUACCUUUUGAUGAAGUAAUAGAUUGGAAUAAAGCUGUUAUAUGGGCCGAUGAAAGGUUGUUGUUCCAGGUACCAGAAGUGAUUCAUUCUAUACCAGAAACUAAACUUUUUGCUUUAAGACAACAAACCCAAAUUUUGUGGGAACAGUACUUCAAUACAAUUGAAAAAAUAGUUUUCACUACUUUUGAAGUAAGAUUGUUAUAAUAAAUCAACAAUUGUCAAUGCUUUGGUGACAUACAAAUUAUAGUUUAAUUUUUCUAUAGAUAAUUAAAGAGCGUUUACCUAAAUUGCAAUCCCGAGAUGGUAUUGUUUGGAAUACUUCGCCUGGAGCUCUGGUGUCUCAACACUCAUUUACUGAGCAUCUUAAUUUCAACUUGCCAUUUAGUUAUCAUCUCCUUGGCAAACAACCUAGUUCAAAUUUUACAGCAGUAAUAUUUUCCCAACAUAACAACCUUAAUACACCACUAUAUCGUUUAGUUAGAAAUAUAGCUGCAAGCAAAUAUUUGACACAAGUAAAUUAAUCAAGUCAUAAUAUUACUAAUAGCAUAAGUAAAUUAAAUAUAAUCAAUAUAUUUGUAUAGAUUAUUAUUAACUCGUGUGCUGAUAAUGGUGGCAAAAGUGUGUACCAAAAAAUUGCUGGUAUAAAACUAUUAGUAUUGUCUGGAAAUGGCUGUAAGAGGUUUGAGCCGUUAUCAUUUAUUAAAACUGAAGCUGUUUUAUCAUUAGACGAUGAUGUUGUUUUAACUACUGAUGAAAUUGAUUUUGCAUAUCAUGUGUGGCGAUCAUUUCCCGAUAGGAUUGUUGGAUUUCCAGCUAGAUCUCAUUACUGGGACAGCAGCAAGGUUUUGUGUUAAUUAUUAUUGUAUUAUAGUUUUCACU